CAGGCCCUACGGGGUGCAGCAGGCGCGAAAACUUUACAAUGCUGGCAACAGCGAUAAGGGAACCUCGAGUGCCAGGUUACAAAUCUGGCUGUCGAGAUGCCUAAAAAGCAUUUCAUAGCAAGGGCCGGGCAAGACCGGUGCCAGCCGCCGCGGUAACACCGGCGGCUCGAGUGGUAACCGUUAUUAUUGGGUCUAAAGGGUCUGUAGCCGGCCGGAUAAGUCUCUUGAGAAAUCUGGCAGCUUAACUGUCAGGCUGCUAGGGGAUACUGUUUGGCUUGGGACCGGGAGAGGUGAGAGGUACCUUGGGGAUAGGGGUGAAAUCUUGUGAUCCUCGAGGGACCACCAGUGGCGAAGGCGUCUCACCAGAACGGGUCCGACGGUAGGGGACGAAAGCUAGGGGCACGAACCGGAUUAGAUACCCGGGUAGUCCUAGCCGUAAACGAUGCUCGCUAGGUGUCAGUCACGGUGCGACCGUGAUUGGUGCCGUAGGGAAGCCGUGAAGCGAGCCACCUGGGAAGUAUGGCCGCAAGGCUGAAACUUAAAGGAAUUGGCGGGGGAGCACUACAACGGGUGGAGCCUGCGGUUUAAUUGGAUUCAACG
rnacentral:rRNA from 1 species